GACGAACGCUGGCGGCGUGCUUAACACAUGCAAGUCGAACGAUGAAGCUGGAGCUUGCUCUGGUGAAUUAGUGGCGAACGGGUGAGUAACACGUGAGUAACCUGCCCUUGACUCUGGGAUAACUGCUAGAAAUGGUAGCUAAUACCGGAUACGACCCUCGGAGGCAUCUUCAGGGGGUGGAAAGAAUUUCGGUCAGGGAUGGACUCGCGGCCUCUCAGCUAGUUGGUGAGGUAACGGGUCACCAAGGCGACGACGGGUAGCCGGCCUGAGAGGGUGACCGGCCACACUGGGACUGGGACACGGCCCAGACUCCUACGGGAGGCAGCAGUGGGGAAUAUUGCACAAUGGGCGCAAGCCUGAUGCAGCAACGCCGCGUGAGGGAUGACGGCCUUCGGGUUGUAAACCUCUUUUAGUAGGGAAGAAGCGAAAGUGACGGUACCUGCAGAAAAAGCACCGGCUAACUACGUGCCAGCCGCCGCAGUAA
rnacentral:rRNA from 1 species